rnacentral:rRNA from 1 species
CGUAAACGAUGAAUGCUAAGUGUUGGAGGGUUCCGCCCUUCAGUGCUGCAGCUAACGCAUUAAGCAUUCCGCUGGGGAGUACGGCCGCAAGGCUGAAACUCAAAGGAAUUGACGGGGGCCCGCACAGCGGUGGAGCAUGUGGUUUAAUUCGAAGCUACGCGAAGAACCUUACCAGGUCUUGACAUACUAUGCAAAUCUAAGAGAUUAGACGUUCCCUUCGGGGACAUGGAUACAGGUGGUGCAUGGUUGUCGUCAGCUCGUGUCGUGAGAUGUUGGGUUAAGUCCCGCAACGAGCGCAACCCUUAUUAUCAGUUGCCAGCAUUAAGUUGGGCACUCUGGUGAGACUGCCGGUGACAAACCGGAGGAAGGUGGGGAUGACGUCAAAUCAUCAUGCCCCUUAUGACCUGGGCUACACACGUGCUACAAUGGAUGGUACAACGAGUUGCGAACUCGCGAGAGUAAGCUAAUCUCUUAAAGCCAUUCUCAGUUCGGAUUGUAGGCUGCAACUCGCCUACAUGAAGUCGGAAUCGCUAGUAAUCGCGGAUCAGCAUGCCGCGGUGAAUACGUUCCCGGGCCUUGUACACACCGCCCGUCACACCAUGAGAGUUUGUAACACCCAAAGUCGGUGGGGUAACCUUUAGGAACCAGCCGCCUAAGGUGGGACAGAUGAUUAGGGUGAAGUCGUAACAAGGUAACCA